CCUACGGGUGGCAGCAGUGAGGAAUAUUGGUCAAUGGACGAGAGUCUGAACCAGCCAAGUAGCGUGAAGGAUGACUGCCCUAUGGGUUGUAAACUUCUUUUAUAUGGGAAUAAAAUGUUCCACGUGUGGGAUUUUGUAUGUACCAUAUGAAUAAGGAUCGGCUAACUCCGUGCCAGCAGCCGCGGUAAUACGGAGGAUCCGAGCGUGAUCCGGAUUUAUUGGGUUUAAAGGGAGCGUAGGUGGAUUGUUAAGUCAGUUGUGAAAGUUUGCGGCUCAACCGUAAAAUUGCAGUUGAAACUGGCAGUCUUGAGUACAGUAGAGGUGGGCGGAAUUCGUGGUGUAGCGGUGAAAUGCUUAGAUAUCACGAAGAACUCCGAUUGCGAAGGCAGUUCACUGGACUGCAACCGACACUGAGGCUCGAAAGUGUGGGUAUCAAACAGGAUUAGAUACCCUUGUAGUC
rnacentral:rRNA from 1 species